AGAGUUUGAUCAUGGCUCAGAGCGAACGCUGGCGGCAUGCCUAACACAUGCAAGUCGCACGGUCGGGGGUAACUCCGGCAGUGGCGGACGGGUGAGGAACGCGUAGGGAUCUAUCCAUGGGUGGGGGACAACCGCGGGAAACUGCGGCUAAUACCGCAUGACGAAUGUGCCUUGGCGGGCACGUUCCAAAGUUCGCAAGA
rnacentral:rRNA from 1 species